CUAAUCUAACGAAAACUGUAAUGAAAGCAGACUAAACCAAAACUAGUAUCUUUUUCUCUUUUCAGUUUUCACAUUGUUCUUCGUUAGCUCCGUCAGUCCUCUGUUUGACCCACGCACGCGUUUUCCCCUCUAAAUUUUACAGUCUUCCAUUUUCACUUUCUGUUGAAUCCACUGGUAAACACUUUCUUUGGAAACAAACAACACAUAGAGAGAAUAAUAUUAGAUUUUUUUUUUUAUUUCCUAUUUGUAUUUAUUUAAUAUUAAUGGUCAAAGAAUGGAGAAGGGUAGUAGAGAAAGAGAAUGGAUGUUGUAAAGAAAGCGUGUAACCUACAGUGAUGAUAGUGUAAAGUGUAAACGAACCCGAAGACAAGGCCGGCUCCUUUACAAGCCCUGUUCUGUUUCACUGCCACCAAUUCUCUUUCUUUCUUUAUUUUCUUUACUCUUUCUCGCACCACUACCAAGCAAAGCAAUUUAUGCCUUACCUAAGAGAGAUUGUCUUGUUUAUUUUAUCUCUUGUUUAUAUUUAAUCCUCUCUGUUAUUGUUAUUGGUUGUUUCCACUACUUGGAUUCCUUUGCUUUGUCCUUUGACCCUUCGCUUACAAGAAGAGAAGCUAUACCCACCAGAGUUAUUCUGGUUCUUGUGAUGGGAUUUUUGUGAAAGAGAAUAAAGACUUGAGUUUUAGAGGAUGGGAUUUUGAUCGAGUUUGUUUGGAUGCAUCUACGAGUUUUGAGGAUUUGAAGAAAAGGAAAGACUUUUGUUUUUGUUUAAACUGAUUUUGAGGAGAUGGGUUGCUUUCCUUGUUUUGAUUCGAGGGAAGAAGAGACUCUAAAUCCACGGAAGGAAUCCGAUGAUCGAAAGCAAAGCUUGCCCACCGAGUCUUCUAACAUUUCCAAAUUAUCCUCUGGUGCUGACAGGCUUGGAUCAAGAAGCAAUGGAAGGUCAAAAAGAGAAUUGCCAGUUGCUAAGGAUGGAUUAACUGGUGGCAACAUCGCAGCUCAAACAUUUACUUUCCGUGAGCUUGCAGCUGCAACAAAGAAUUUUAGGCCAGAGUCUUUCUUAGGAGAAGGGGGGUUUGGACGUGUAUAUAAAGGGCUUCUUGAGAGCACUGGUCAGGUAAUUCUCUGGGUUAUUUCAUUAUCAGACAUAUCAUCCCCAAUACUAUACAUUUCCCUUUUUAUCAAUGAAUAUAUCUUUGCCCGACUCAAAAGAGCAAGUAGAUCAAGAAUCUUAAAUCUGAACUCAUACUGAUUUUGCAAAGCAUAGCAUUUAAAGGAAAAGUAUAAUGGUGCAUUUUUCACUCUGUCUAAUGUAUUUCAUUCCCAAUUUUAAUGUCAAUCUUAAGUUAUAGAUGUGUUUGCUUUGGCAUCUUGCUAACAUCUCUUUGGAAUGAAAGAUAUGAUGAGGACUUGAGGAUUUGUCUCAGUUUACGGCAGCCCUUGAACACAAAGCUUCAGUAAAAAAGAAUGUCAGCAUGAAACCAUCAGUGAUGUAAACAUGGUUGUUAAACUCUUUCUACUUGUUUUAGUAUCCUAAAGUUCUUGAUCAAAUAUGACAUUUUUAUCCACCUAAGUUUCAUUACUGUAAAGUCACUAUGAGAUUGAGAAGCUAUUGAAUUUUUGGCUCCCUUUAUUCCAGUUUGUCAUUGAUGAUGACUUUUCUCUUUUCAAUUUUUAGACUAGUUAAAAGUAGUCCCAUAUUAGUACACUAAGCUUGUUGAUGCUUUGCACCUAUUAUGGGGUGUUGGUACUACAUGACAUUGCUAAUGUGUUGAAUUUCAAGAGAAGAGAGCAGCUGUGGACAAUUUUUGUAGCAAAAGAGUACUGUUGUGCUGGGCUCAAAUUUAUUAUGUCUCAUGGAAAGUUUGGGAGGCAUAGACUUUAAGAUUUGAAAUUCUUUUUCGUAUGUAUAGGGACCAGCAACUAAAUCUCUGUGGCUUGGGAAGUAGUUUCAUGGUUGAGGUGAUUUUGAUCUCUCUUAACUUUCUUUUUGUGUUACAGGUUGUUGCUGUUAAACAAUUGGAUAGAAAUGGCCUCCAGGGUAAUAGGGAAUUCCUGGUAGAGGUUCUCAUGCUCAGCCUUUUGCAUCAUCCUAAUCUUGUGAACCUGAUUGGCUAUUGUGCUGAUGGAGACCAAAGGCUUCUUGUUUACGAAUUUAUGCCCUUGGGAUCAUUAGAAGAUCACCUUCACGAUCUUCCACCUGAUAAGGAACCUCUUGAUUGGAACACAAGAAUGAGGAUAGCAGCAGGUGCUGCCAAAGGUUUGGAAUACCUGCAUGAUAAAGCAAAUCCACCUGUUAUAUACAGGGAUUUCAAGUCAUCCAACAUUUUACUUGAUGAAGGAUUUCACCCAAAGCUUUCUGACUUUGGGCUUGCCAAGCUUGGCCCUACUGGAGACAAGUCACAUGUUUCCACCAGAGUUAUGGGCACUUAUGGUUAUUGUGCUCCUGAAUAUGCCAUGACUGGACAAUUGACUGUUAAAUCUGAUGUUUACAGUUUUGGGGUAGUCUUCUUAGAGCUGAUUACUGGACGUAAAGCCAUUGACAGUACUCGACCACAUGUUGAACAGAACCUUGUCACAUGGGCUCGUCCCUUAUUCAAUGAUCGUAGGAAAUUUUCAAAAUUGGCAGAUCCACGAUUGCAGGGGCGUUAUCCCAUGAGGGGACUCUACCAGGCUCUAGCAGUGGCUUCCAUGUGCAUUCAGGAACAGGCUGCAGCACGUCCCCUCAUUGGGGAUGUGGUCACUGCUCUCUCUUAUUUGGCAAACCAGGCAUAUGAACCUAAUUCGGCUGCGCAUGGCUACCGUGGUUCUGGGGAUAAGGAUGAGAAAAGGAACAGAGAUGAGAGAGGUGGGCAGUUAUCAAAGAGUGAGGAAGGGGGAGGAUCCAGUCGCAGAUGGGACCUGGAUGGGUCUGAGAAAGAAGAUUCCCCGAAAGAAACUGCAAGAAUGUUAAACAGGGACUUAGAUAGAGAACGAGCUGUUGCUGAAGCUAAGAUGUGGGGAGAGAACUGGCGAGAAAAAAGACGACAAAGUGCUCAAGGUAGUUUCGAUGGCAGUAAUGGGUAGUACCCAGGCAUCUUUCCUCCAUCUUCUCUCUUUCUGACUUCAAACCAGGCUCAUGAAGAAGCAUUAAAAGCUAAGCUUGAGCUGGUCUACCCGCAUGUUCUCAUCUUUUUCAUUUGUAUCUUUCGUUUUCUUUGUCUCAAAUUCCUUUUUGUUGAAACAUAUAACCAGGUGAUUAUGAAGGAGAAAAAAACAUAAUUGAGAGUGUAAAUUAUCUGCUAGGAGAGCAAGAUAAGAACAAGACGUAUUUAUAAAAAUUUUGAGAGUAAACACGUCUGAGUCAUGUUCUGCUUGCUCUUAUAGGUUUCUUAUUAUGAGCCAAAAAACAUUUUCUGCUGCCUGUACUAUGUAGUCUUCUUCAAUGGCAUUUUACCAACCAAUCUAUGUUAUUUUAUCAGAUUAAUCGAUGCA
rnacentral:misc_RNA from 1 species